GGAUCGAAAUGUCAAACCCAUUCAUGCGGAAGCGCGGGAAGUAAGGAUCAAACGACAGUCACAACAAAAGAUUGAGCAAGAGGAUAGCUACAGCUGCAGAUCCCGUAAUGCAAAAGAGGAGCACAGACCGACUGCCAUGAGAAGUUUGUCAGUCCAGACAGAUUUCUAUCAGUCCAAAAUAAAUUCAAUAAAAACAUAAAAAAAAGUGCACAGCCACAUGAUGCAAUCUCUGGAUGGUUUGUAGGCUGUUCAUCAACAUGUGAAUCCCACACACAUUUUGGGGUAGAGUCUUUCCUGUUAAAGAUCAAUAAUGGCUGAUAAACAAUGUAGCAGUCUGGUCAUCAACAGAGAGUUUACACCCGUACACCCUCAUUUCUACCAAUCACCUCUGUAAUCUUUGUUGUGUUUAUCACACAGAUGAUGGACCACUCUACUUCCUUUUACAACAGGUGCCCCUACAGAUUCACAAAGUUCCAGUGUUGAGUUUCCAUGACCCCUAUUCAUCCAUGACAGGAAAAGGAAUAAUGUUGACAGGAAUUUCCGCACUGUCCCUGGUAGCAGGUUAUGAUGGAACCAACAGCAGUAGACAGAGCAUGCUUCAUUAAAAGU